CGCCCCAACAGAUCCACAGAUGAUGCAAUCUCUAUUGCGCUCCACACUGCCCUUUCACACCUGGAAUACAUGACUGGACUGUCUACAAGUCAAGCCCCCCUCAAACGUUUCAAAUGUUUGCUAACAGCCCAUCUCAAUGCCCCAUUAUUGACUCUGAGUGUAACAAAACAUACCAGUCUACUAUACCCUCCGUUGGAUUUGGACCAAUGACCUGGCUCAUUUUGAGUGAAAUAUUCCCUGCUGUGGUCAGAGGGAGAGCGUUUGCAUUCUCCAACUGGGCUGCCAACUUAAUUGUCACAUUCUCCUUCUUUAAUGUCAUUGAUGCGAUUGGUUUGUCUGGGACGUUCCUUUCAUAUGGGCUGAUUGGAGUGGGAGCUGUGGUGUUCCAUUUCCUGUUACCAGAGACCAAAGGGAAAUAACUGGAGCAGAUAGACAGUGAGCUCUGUUUGAAAAGGUCCAACUCAAACUCUGGUCUAUCAUUAUGCGUUAAAAAUGUUAUUUUCAAAGUGAUCUGAAAUGCAGCUUGUUCUAGGAACUUAUCCGUUUCUUCUUUUGUAGUGUACACAACAGUGAAGAAUGCUGCGAUAUCAUUAGCAGGAGAAUCGCCUCCCCCGGUUAUCAAAGAGUUAGCUCAGUAACCCAGUGUUGAGUGAAUCUAUCCAAGUAGUGUUUUGUUAUUGUGGAACAUUCCAAGAAUGUCAAAGGGUGGACGUUUUUUUCACCUGACUGCAACCAACAGACGGAUGCGUUUGUCAGUAUCGAAAAGUUUAGUGAUCCCUCCAGCUAACUUAGCAGAGCUUAUUGUUGUGUUACAUGACUGAAAUAUACUUUUAUUGCACUGGCAUUGGUUAUUUUUGUAAUGUUAGCCAAAAACUCAUUUAUUUUCAGAUGAAAAUUAUAAUAAAGCGCAAUGGUUUUGCAAGGCAUACAGCCAUCCUACUAACUUUCAAGUCUGCAUGAAAAAUAAUUAGCGUUUUCUAUUUAAUCCAAGAGACAUCGUAGACAGGGGUCAGGAACCUGAAGCUCCUGAGCAUAUGGGGCUGUUUAAAUACCCAUUCUUGGCUCCAUGGCAAUCUCAUUUAAUUAAAUCAUUCAAAGUUGUUAAACUUGCACAUUCACUAGAAUUCUUAAGGGCACAUUCUGCACUAGAUUAUAAAGCUCUGAAAUUAUCGUUAUCUACACUGAACAAAAAUAUAAAUGCAACAUGUAAA